UACACUCCUGCGGGAGGCAGCAGUGGGGAAUAUUGGACAAUGGGCGCAAGCCUGAUCCAGCCAUGCCGCGUGAGUGAUGAAGGCCCUAGGGUUGUAAAGCUCUUUCACCGGUGAAGAUAAUGACGGUAACCGGAGAAGAAGCCCCGGCUAACUUCGUGCCAGCAGCCGCGGUAAUACGAAGGGGGCUAGCGUUGUUCGGAUUUACUGGGCGUAAAGCGCACGUAGGCGGACUAUUAAGUCAGGGGUGAAAUCCCGGGGCUCAACCCCGGAACUGCCUUUGAUACUGGUAGUCUUGAGUUCGAGAGAGGUGAGUGGAAUUCCGGGUGUAGAGGUGAAAUUCGUAGAUAUUCGGAGGAACACCAGUGGCGAAGGCGGCUCACUGGCUCGAUACUGACGCUGAGGUGCGAAAGCGUGGGGAGCAAACAGGAUUAGAUACCCCAGUAGUCCC
rnacentral:rRNA from 1 species